UUAGUACCCCGCUGAACUUAAGCAUAUCAAUAAGCGGAGGAAAAGAAACCCAACAGGGAUGCCACAGUAACGGCGAGUGAAGCGGCAGCAGCUCAAAUUUGAAAUCUGGGGUCCCCGGCCCCCGAGUUGUAAUUUGGAGAGGCAUCUCCGGGGGGGAGCGCCGGCCAAUGUUCCUUGGGACAGGACGUCACAGAGGGUGAGAAUCCCGUGCCUGGCCGGCUGCCUCCUCCCGCGUGGAGGGCCUUCGACGAGUCGAGUUGUUUGGGAAUGCAGCUCCAAGCGGGUGGUAAAUUUCAUCUAAAGCUAAAUACCGGCGGGAGACCGAUAGCGCACAAGUAGAGUGAUCGAAAGAUGAAAAGCACUUUGAAAAUAGAGUCAAAAAGUACGUGAAAUUGUUGAGAGGGAAGCGCUUGAGACCAGACUCGGGCCCGGGCAAACAUCGCGCCCCUCGGGGCCGUGCAAUUGCCUGGGCCUGGGCCAGCAUCAGUUGGCGUGGCGGGACAAAGGCGCGGGGAAUGUGGCUCCCCUCGGGGAGUGUUAUUAGGCCCGCGCUCAAUGCCGCCGACGUCGACUGAGGACCGCGCCCCGGCUAGGAUGCUGGCUUAAUGGCCUUCAGCGACCCGUCUUGAAACACGGACCAAGGAGUCUAACAUCUAUGCGAGUGUUUGGGCGACAAACCCUUGCGCGGAAUGAAAGUGAGCGGAGGUGGGAACCCCCCCGCGGGGCGCACCAUCGACCGAUCCUGAUGUCUUCGGAUGGAUUUGAGUAGGAGCAUAGCUGUUGGGACCCGAAAGAUGGUGAACUAUGCCUGAAUAGGGUGAAGCCAGAGGAAACUCUGGUGGAGGCUCGCAGCGGUUCUGACGUGCAAAUCGAUCGUCAAAUUUGGGUAUAGGGGCGAAAGACUAAUCGAACCAUCUAGUAGCUGGUUCCUGCCGAAUUCCCCCUUCAGGAA
rnacentral:rRNA from 1 species